rnacentral:rRNA from 1 species
UACAGAGGGUGCGAGCGUUAAUCGGAAUUACUGGGCGUAAAGCGCGCGUAGGCGGCUUUGCAAGUCGGGUGUGAAAUCCCCAGGCUUAACCUGGGAACUGCAUUCGAGACUGCAUUGCUAGAGUAUGGGAGAGGGAAGUGGAAUUUCCGGUGUAGCGGUGAAAUGCGUAGAUAUCGGAAGGAACAUCAGUGGCGAAAGCGGCACGCUGGACCCUUUCUGACGCUGAGGCGCGAAAGCCAGGGGAGCAAACGGG